GACCUGGAGUUUUUUAGCAUAUGCUAUUCUUUUGUGAUUUACUGAUGCAAAAUGGAUUUGGGACCUUCUAAAUUAGGGGUAAUAUAAGAGGAGUUUGUGAAUGUUGCUCACUUCGGGAUUGAGAGGACAAUAAACACGCAGAUUAAGGGGACGCGUUUGCAGUCUCCAGGUGUGAGGUUGUGCUGAGCCAGGCUCCAACCUUCCUGUCUGUUACUCCAGGGGAGACAGUCACCAUCACCUGCUGAAUGCCAGUGGCAACAUUGUGUGGACCCUGUCUCCAGCCCCUAUCCCUGUGUCCCAGGUGAGAGGGUCACCAGCUGGGCUGACCAGGGUAUGAACAGCAUCCUAGUCCAGCUUCAGCGGAACUGAGGCCUGGUUCUGAGCUCCUGAUGCCCCCUGGAGACCAUGCCUGCUCUGGUCAUUCUGGCUAUCAGCAUCCAGACUGCCUUCAGGGGGCAUGUGCCCCCUCCUCCUGUCAUUACUGGUACACAAAUCUCACCCCAGCUGCUCAUCUGCCUGGGGUCUGCUGAAGAUCUGGGGCCUUCUCAGUGGAGCAGAAUGGGAGGCAGCUCUGAAACCACAAACUCCCUUCUCUUCCCACCUGCUUCCCACCUUCUGUAUGGGAACUUCCAGUGCAUCUGGUGAGCAUCACGGAGUGGAGAAUGUCAAUGUGUUUUCUCCCACAUCCUGCUCUGAAUUUAUGAGGCCAAUUCAUCCUCACCUCACACACGAGCUGCCCUUGUCUUCAGGGAUUCGAUCCUUGUUUCUCUCACAUCCUGGCACAGUGUUGACACCUUAGUUCUCACUUCACUCCAUGAAUCCUUUGGGAAACAUCAUGGUCAACAAAUCGUGGUGCUUGGAUAACAGACAAUAAAAUAACAAGUAUUCAGAAGUUUGUGCAUGGGGGAGAAAUGACCCAUUCUGAACAGUGUCUCAAUAGCUGGGUGAGCCAUAGAAGCUGGUUAGAGAGAUCCCAUAUGGCUCCAAUCAAAGGGGAGGCUGCUAACGAGCUGUGGGGUGCUUCUGUCCUGUGAUCACCCCUGUAAUCCUGUCUUAUAAGCCACACAUGACCUAAUUCUAUGAGCCACAUGUGCUGCUCUGUCCAUCAGGGGCCCAGGGGAGGAAAAGUCCACGGUAAGCUCUGGGCACAAAACAUCCCUCUACCAGGAGCCGAGGCCCACUCCCUACCUCCUCCGCACCUGCUGCUUCAUGUUCCCCAGACUCCCAUUGAAUCUCUCAGCAUCCAAAGCCAUCUAUGAGUCAGUGCUUGACCCAGCAAGGAAAUGAGGGGGGUUCUGAGUCUCCUGACCUUUGGGCUCUGUAGUGGGGAAGGGGCCAUGGGGUGGGGCACCAUUGCUGGGUUUUCAUGUUCAAGCUCAACUUAUCAAAGUUUAAAACCAUACCUUAGAACAACAAUUAAUAUUAUAUUUAUUUACAUGAAAUGGCAUAUUAUAUUUAUUAUGUAUGCACAGUAUAUACAAAUGUAUUAAUACAACUUAUAUCUGAAAUGUCAUAGAUAUAUAUUUAAUUUGUAAGGUAUGUUACAAAUACAUAUAUACAGGUACAAAUAAUUUACUUUUAUUUAUUUAGCAUGUGCUUCCUUUCCUUCUAACUAUAACAGAGUCUAGCUGAGUAAAGACUCUGGAGACGUUUGAUGACCCUCCCUCCUUUGCACUAGCAGGGUCCCCGCCACUCAGUAUCAGUGAGGACAAGACUGAGGAGAGCUGGCCUAGGAUCCCAGGCCCUGCCCCAUGGUUUUUGUCUCUUACACUUUUACCCUGGAUGCAGGGUUCCUGACAGAGGUUGCAUUUGGAAGGUUUACAAAGAAAGGCUUCCAGAGUGUUAGUUCUGGAUUCUGAGGAGGGUAAGUGGAAGGUGGGUCUGGAUUUCCAGCAUGGAGGAGGCCAGACCAAGUCUUAGGAAAGGCUCUAGUGUGGGAAGAAAGGACUUAAAACUCAGACCUGUGGCCACAGCCUUAGGAACCCAAGAGUGGACACUAACAAAAUGGGCUCGGGGAAAACGCAGACUAAAGAUGUUAUAGUCAACUGUAAUCUUAUCUUUCAAAUGCUACACAUAAAUAUUGGUGGGAGAUUUUAUGGUGAAAAUAACACACAAUGAGCCCCACUGCCUACAGUCAGUUACCUGUUUGUUGUAGAAUAACUAUUGAAAAAUUUGAUUUUAAAUCACAUCUGGCUACUAACAUAUUGCACAGCCUCUUAAUUCUAUGAUACUCAAGAGUGCAUAAAAUAAAAAGGGAUUGGAGAU
ensembl:lncRNA